AUUGAACGCUGGCGGCAGGCUUAACACAUGCAAGUCGAGCGAGCGGCGGACGGGUGAGUCAUGUCUGGGAAACUGCCUGCUGGAGGGGGAUAACUACUGGAAACGGUAGCUAAUACCGCAUACCAUCAAAUGUGCCCAGAUGGGGUUAUCGAGUAGUUGGGGUAAUGGGUCACCUAGGCGACGAUCCCUAGCUGGUCUGGGAGGAUGACCAGCCACACUGUAACUGAGACACGGUCAAGACUCCUACGGGAGGCAGCAGUGGGGAAUGUUGCACAAUGGGCGCAAGCCUGAUGCAGCCAUGCCGCGUGUGUGAAGAAGGCCUUCGGGUUGUAAAGCACUUUCAGCGAGGAGGCGUUAAUCGCAGAAGAAGCACAGGCUAACUCCGUGCCAGCAGCCGCGGUAAUAC
rnacentral:rRNA from 1 species